rnacentral:tRNA from 1 species
GCGCCAAUGGCUCAGUUGGAUAGAGCAACGGCCUUCUAAGCCGUGGGUCGCAGGUUCGAAUCCUGCUUGGCGUACCA